UACAGAGGUCUCAAGCGUUGUUCGGAUUCAUUGGGCGUAAAGGGUGUGUAGGUGGCGCCGUUAGUCGGGUGUGAAAUUUCGGAGCUUAACUCCGAAACUGCAUUCGAUACUGCGGUGCUUGAGGACUGGAGAGGAGACUGGAAUUCAUGGUGUAGCAGUGAAAUGCGUAGAGAUCGGGUGGAACACCAGGGGCGAAGGCGGCAUCCUGGCUCUGUACUGACGCUGAGGCGCGAGAGCGUGGGGAGCAAACAGG
rnacentral:rRNA from 1 species